rnacentral:lncRNA from 1 species
GCCGAGCCUGGUGCUGUCGUCAAGACCCACGUCUGAAACUUCUGCGCAGAAACACCCUUAUCGACCGCCAAAACAUCGGAUCUCCAAAUGUGCUCAUCUUCCUCCGCGAUCACACCGCACGAAACCAAAGCUGACACUAGCAAAUGGCUCAUGUCAGGGAGCACCAAAGGAUCCUCUGCGUUUCUGGACAUCUUCGCGAUCCUCGAAGAAUGCCCCAUGACCCAGCAGAUCCAGAAAAGCAUGAGCACCUCUCCCGGCAAGAGAGACCCGCCCACCUUAUCAUCGUCGCCAGCAUCGGGAUCGAACUCCAAGCCGCAAGGCGCUCCGGCUUCCCGGGACAGGGCGGCGUACAAUCUGUAUAGCUCGUUGAUGGAUCGUGAGACGGGCAUCCUGCCGUAGCAUCGCUUGUAGCCGCUCAAGAAGCCAAUCCAAUCAAUACGACCGUCAGCACGAUCAUCGGCAACGGGGAAGAAGAGCGAGACCAGGGUUGCGCCGAGAUUGUUCGACAGGGCAGGGAAGUGCUACGGCACCGGCGAGGAUUCGGACACAACAACUUGCACGUCCAGGGAAGAGGGGAGAAUCGAGGGUCAGUUGUCACAUGGGUUGUGGAUCGGUAGGCAGCAGCAGUACCUGGAGGGAAGCGAGGGGGACGGAAGAGGAGGAGGGCGGAGAGAGGUUGGAGAAGGCAUUGCGAAGGGAGGGGAGGAAGCCAUUGGCGGCGGCUAAGUUUUCCUCCUCUUCCUGCCGUUGCUGUUGCUCCGAGAUGCCUCCGUGGUCGGCGGAAGAGGACGCGCCCAUCUCCUGUUUGUUCGUUAGCCUGUCUGUCUGUCUGUCGUGUUCUCGCUUUAUCGGUGGAGAGGAGGAGACCAGCAGACCUCACGGGGCGUUGUUGGACUCUUGAAGCUCCCAAGGGACGGGCGGGCACAAACGAUCGCGAGGAUGGAUGUCGUCCUUGCGACGCUUCUGCGAUGCCGCUACACGCGUCAUGAAGCGGGGUUCGACCGCGGCGACGAACCCACGAUUGCAACAAGCAACGCUACCCGGGAAUUAAACCGGCUCCAUCGUGAGGUUCAAUAAACCUUCGAUGGAGUCGGACCGGCUCAAUCUCUCCCACAUCUCCCUUAAUUUACAUCUAAAAUUUGAGAUGGUAAUUAUUUUACUUAUUAUGAAAAGUAUAAAAAAUAAUAAUAGGUUAAUCAACCCAAAAAUAAAUAAUAUGUAUCAUAAAGAUAUUAUUAUUUAGUCGGCACGUGGAUGUCUAAAAAUUAUUGUAGACUUUUGUUAUUAUAAUAAAAAUUAUUUUUAAAUCAAGAAUGAUUUGUAAAAAAAAUUUAAAUCGGAUGAUAUGGGAUUCAUAUUUUAGGAUUUUUUUAAUUUUAUGUAUUCAUCAUGUCCCGUCUUAUAAAAUUUAAUCAUCAAAGGGAUCAAAGUCAAAAAAUAUUUCUAAUAUUAAUCACAGGAAGGAGGCUAUGGAAAUAAAUUUUAGAAAUUUUACAUCUUAGAAAUUUUACAUGGAUGAUCGAAAGCUAACAACUAUAAUAAAAAAAAAAAAAUUUAUGCUGAUGGACUUUUAUAAACUUAUGAAAGCUUAUCUAAGAGCCGAUCACAAAAUAAUACAUAUUUUCAUAUUAAACGGGUGGCAAUUAAUGUAUAAUUGUUCAUGCUAAUGCUUAAAUAGAUCAGAUGGACAUAGAUAAAGAACAUGGACUGUUUAUACCAUUUUAAUCUCAAUUAUUAAAUUAGAUAAUGAUAUCUCAGACAUGGCGACAACAAGGUCACAUUAUUAGACUAGAUAAUGAUAUCUCAGACAUGGCGACAACAAGGUCAGCCGAUCAUGGAACAUUUCCUGAAUGAUAAAAGCUCCACAAUCAAUGCAAAAUGUUUGAAAUGAUAAUAUUUAUUGGGAUAACCUUAUUCUUACACACAACAUAUUCCAGCAAGGAAAUGACAGAGAUUUCCUGUAGUUAUUAAUAAAUAUUCUUCGCCAUUAUACACUGGCACAAACACACACGAUCACAAGUAUACAUAGCAGCAGUAUCAAUUCAAGAUUGCAUCAAGAAGCCUCGAGAACCAGAGAGUUUGAGCAUGCACCAGAUCAUCAUCUUCCAUAUUCGAUGUCCAAUCCCAAUCUUUUCUCUGGAUUAUAGCUAGUAGUGGUUUCAAUUCCAUGAUAAUAUGUCUCAUGGUCAACUGAUGGUUGACUGAGCAAGCUCUCAAUCUCCUCGGUAUUCUGCGGUACCCACGGGUGCUGCUUGAAUUUUCUCAACCUGUCGAGCUCUUCCGCCACUUGCUUCAUCGUAGGCCUUUCUUCUCCCAUGAACUUCAAGCAUUGCUUUACGAGCUCGCUCAUUUCUUGAAUCAGUUCCGUAUCCCCUUCGUUUCUCACCUGAUCAUCCAAGAUCUCCAUAAGUCGGUUCUCCUUCGUCGCGAGAAUAAAACAUGAUGCGAGGCUCCUCUCAUCUUCAGAUGCUUCAAAAUAAAUUGGCUUCUUGCGGGUCAUCAGCUCCAGAAGCACCACGCCGAAGCUAUAAACAUCACUUUUCUCUGUCAACUGGCAGGUUUGGAGGUACUCUGGGUCCAAGUAACCACAAGUCCCUUGCACCAAGGUAGCAAACUGAUCCUCAUCUUUUGGAACCAGCUUCGAAGCUCCAAAGUCAGAAACUUUUGCUGUAUAGUUUUCAUCUAAAAGGAUGUUGGAAGACUUCACGUCGCCAUGAAUGAUGGGAGGCGAAGCCGAUGAAUGCAAGUAGGCCAGAGCUUCGGCAGACUCAUGAGCGAUCCUCAAGCGAGUGGCCAAGGAAAAGGGAGAUGCCCUGUUGUUGUCGUGAAUCAGCUGGAACAAGGUCCCGUUCGAGAUAAACUCAUAAACCAGCAUCGGAACCUCCACUUCCAAGCAACAACCCAAGAGCUUAACUAUGUUCUUGUGGUUGAUCUGCGACAGAAUAAGCAGCUCUUUUCCAAAUUCAUUCUUUUGGCUCUCAUCAAUGAUCUUGGGUUUCUUGAUGGCAACGACACGACUGUCCUCCAAGUCUCCUUUGUAAACGGUACCAUGUCCUCCUCUGCCAAGGACUCGGUUCUGAUCAUACUUCUCUGUAGCUUUUUCUAAUUCUUCUUUGGCAAAUAUCUUAAAUGCAAGACCUUGUUCUCUAAAGUAUCUCUCUUUAGCCUUGAUCUCUUCCAAUAAUAUCCAACCUCCAUGUUCUCUGAAAUAUCUUUCCUUAAUCUUGAUGAAUUUUCUUCUUUGAAAAAUCACAUAGAUACACAUGCCGGAUAUUAGUAGAAAGAUCAAGCCACUGCCACUACCUGUAUCUCAGAAAUUUUCAGGCCAAUUAAAACCAGGAAGAGAAACAAAAAUUAUGUUUUUUAUGCAAAUUAUUUUGGAUUUGUGGUUACUGGAAACUAUAAUACGAGCACAGAACAAUUUUGUGCUCUGCUUUUCUGAUGAUAAAAUCCUGGAUGCUUAUUCUUAUUGCUUUUCUUCUGCGCAAGCAUUAUGCUAAGCUACAUAACUAGAAUACAUGAAGUCCAUGCAAAUACAAGAAUCACAGAUAACUUGUAAACGUUAUUUCCUGCAACUUUUAGCAGGUAUAAACAUACAAGUUGGAUUUCCCUGGGAGAGAAGAAACACAGAAGUUGGACAAUGAGUUCUUUUUAGUUGAUAGAAAGGAUGUAUCUCUGGAGAAAGGUCUGAACUCAUGGCUGAAGUUGACAUCAGAUCUGUGUAGACUGAUAAGAAAAGGAAAAUAAAUAAAAAGGAAGAUUAGUGGGAACUUGAUGCUUGAGACGAACACAAACUUUAUUUCCUUUUCCUGUCAAGGCUCUAAACUUGUAUCUUGACUCACUUUAUCUCUACUUGAUCAUGAUAAAUAUCAUCUAAUUAUAGAACCCUAGAUGAGAGAGAUGAGAGUUACGAUACUUAAUCUUGAUGACUGCAUUCAUACAUUUUUAUCAUGUGUUAGCUAUGAAAUUUUCUAUCGACGCUUUACUUUUUCAUAAUCAAUGUAACCUUUCUUCAUGAUCACCAUGAUAUAUCUUUAGAUCAUGAUAACCUCUCUUAUCCCAUCAAAUUCAAAUCCUAGAGGUUACAAUUCUCCCCCUGUGUCCAUGAAAAAUAUAUGCUUCAAUUCUCUUUUAAUUAAGAUUAUUUCUCUAAACAUAGACAUCCUUGCAACAAAGAAACAAGUCAAGGUGAAUGGGGUCUUACCAAUAAUAACCUUCACUGGCGACGAAAGUUUCUGGUCUGCAGUGCAAUUUGCAUUUAAAGGGUUGCCGUGUGUGCCUGGCGGGCAGGAACAAUCGUAGCUACCAACUGUGUUCUGGCAGAUGCCAAGGCAUGGAUAUCGAUCUUUAUCAUCACAUUCAUUGAUGUCUGCAAUUAAAACAUAUUCGCAACUAUCAGCAACAAAAUCAUGAAAACUGAAAAGGCAAACAGAUCCCAGAAAGAGACGAGACUGGAACAGGUAACAGACCUUGGCAGCCCUGAGCGACAUAAGGAUUGCCUUGGUAGCCUCUCGAACAGUUACAAAGAUACCCAGGACCAUUGGAAGAGUUCAAACACUCGCUGUGCUCGCUGAUGCAGGCGUAGGAGGUUGUGUCGCGCUGUGCUACCUCGCAUGUCUCGUUUCUGAUCGCCCAAUCCACCACCAUAGGCGCCAUGCUGCUGUUGCUCAAGAAUUGGUUCGUUGUGAUGUAAGAUGUUCGGAACUCAAACUGAUUCGCCUCCAACAAUACGGCAUAGCUGCAGUCACUGAAGUUCCAGGUGCUCGAGCUGUUGAAAUUUGAAUCAAACAAAACCUCAUAGUAUGUGAGGUCGUUGGGGAUGGCGGUUUGGCAGCAGCCGAUGUCGGAGCAUGAGCUGUUGACCAAACUCACCUCGUUGUGACACACAGACCCGCAACCGCUCCAGUAGGUGUCGUUCCUUUUCCAACCUCCGAUGUAGGCGAGGGUGUCGCAGCCGAUUACAGUGAACUUGUUGUGGACAUCGGAGAAUCUGUAUGGUCUGUUGGUGAAAUCCAGAGACCAGACAUAGCCGUAUCUGGAAUUGUUGCUAACGUUGUAACACUGCCACGAUAUUUCACUGAGCAUGCGUGCCUGGCCUAGUGGCAAUGAGAUAUUGGUGAUCUCGACGUUGGACAAAAAAAGUUUCUCGUGGCCAUCCAUUUUGUUGCAAUCUAGUGAGAAGCCUUCCCUAGAACAGUUAGGAUCGAUGCCAAAAGGGUAGGGGACGUCAACCUCGCCGCAUCUCCUUCGGCAGCCAGGCGGUGCAGCUGCUGCAGAUGCCGUUGCACCCACUAGCGGCAGCAUCAACAGCUGGAACAAGCGAUACCCUAACAGCACACCCAUCUCUCGAUUUGCACACUAGCAGAGAGGUACUCUUCAGAUAAAAGCUUGGACAAAUGAUAUGUUACGGAAACACCAAAGCCUAAAAUGAAGCUUCCUCUUGACUGAGCGAUGAGGUGCAAGAAAGCUGACCUUUUCCCAGUCAAUCAUUUAUUUAAAAAAAUUAUUUGAUUGCAUCACUGUCUAAUUUUUCUGCAAAACAAUCGACUCACAACUUUGAUCCACAAGGAUGAAGUUUGAUUGCAUCAUCAACAGGCGGCCUUAGUGACCACACACCCAUCUUUCGCUGCGAUCGACGCCACAUGCUGCAAAGUCGGGAACGCAUAACGACAUCAGACUACUAAUAAGAUGAUUCGACCCUUCAGAACAAUACAAGUACAAGCAAAGAAAAGUCCAUGGACUGCUAUCGAGCAUCCUCCUCCAGUGGAUUUUCAUGGACCUGUUCAAUAUUUUAUGGUACAUCAAGAGCAAGUGGUCGGUGGAUCCGUGGAUGACACCGGUUGAGAUGGAGAUGGAGAUGGUGUAAGCGACUUAUCAAUCACACCUGUUCAUGAUCGUUAAACGUUAGCUUCUUUGCCAAUUAAUUAUUCUCUGUGACAAUAAGAACACAAAGAAAAAAGACAUGGAUAAUAAAUGGCGUUCUUUGUCUGAACAGUGAGACGUCGCAAUUGGAGUUGUUGGCUGUUCUAGAUUAUUUAUACCAUUCCACUCCGAAUUGUUAGAUUAGAUAAUGAUGUCUCACACAUAGUGACAAGAAGAUCAUCCGAUCAUCUAACAUUUCCCGAAUGAUAAAAGCUCCACAACAAAUGCAAAAUGUUUAAAAUGAUAAUAUUUAGAUAACCAUUUUCUUACAUACAAGAUAACCAUUUAAAGCUUCCACUUCGUUGACCGAUGAGGUGCAAGGAACAUAACUCCUCCCUAGUUGCUCGGUAAAAAAUGAGUUUGAAUGUUAGGCUUGUGAACGAUGACCAAUUCCUCUAAGUAUAUUUUCGUGGACCUAUUUGAUUCCCAUGUUGCAAUUGGUGUUCUUGGUUAUUCAACCAAUGACUAAUCAGCUGAUAGGUCUUUUCAUGACAAUACUCUUUCGUAGUACAAGAAGAACUAGCGAUUGAUGGAUGAUGAUGCUAGUUGAGAUGGACCUGGAGAAGGAAAAUAAUCACAUCUAUUUUGGUGUUUGUGCAAUUUUCUUCCAACGAUGGUUUGUCCUGUGCCUGGCAAUUUGUCUCCAGCUUCUUUGUCAAUGUCUUCUUCUUCCACAAAGGACUACUGAUUGAUGGAUGAUGGGUCCUUGAAAAUAACUGUUAAUGACUUGGGAUGGUCAAAUAUUUUUUUAUUCUCUCUUCAAUUUAAUAAUUGUUUUAAGUUACGAUAGCCAUCUAUGGUUUUUACAAGUGGAGAUCAUAUCAUUUGUCAGCUACAGAGCAUCCUCUCCCUCGGUAUAUUUUCAAGGAAACCUUAAAUUCCUACAUUGUAAUUGACGUUCUUGGUUUUUCUGCACAAACUUCAAAAGAAAAACCAGUGAUUGAUGUAUGAUGGUCGAGAUGGACAUGGCAAAUGCAACAAAAUUCUUCAAAAACUGGUCUUAUGCAUUCAACUUCUUUCGUAAGUAAUGUCGAUUGCAUAUGUUCAUCCAUGUCUUUUGUGCACCUUGUGGUGUUUGUAUGGUGAUUCGUUAUCCUUUUCGUUUUUAAGGCAUAUAUAUAUCCUUGUAAAGUUUGGAAAUUAUAUAUUUGUUAUCAUAACAUACACAUCCUUCACAAAUAUCACUUUAAUAUGGCAUAUUACCUUUAAUUUGCUUUUGGUCAUUCUUCCUGUUACUGUGAAUAAAACAGGAAAGGUCUUCAUUUCUCAUGUACAUACGUAUUCCUCACUUGCUAUAUUGUUUGUUCAGUUAAAUCUUGUAGAAACCUUAUGACUCUAUCAUGAUUUACAUACUUCUAUUACCAAUCAAAAGAUAAGAUGACAGAAUCAACCAGGAAUAAAAAACAUGCAGAAUAAUAGCGAAUUAAUAGGUUAGAACAUUCAGUGGUUGAGAAUGAUUUCACAUACCUCUGAAGGAGACCGAGGAGCUUGAAUGCCCUGCCGGACACACUACGGAAGACAAUUCGCCAAUCCUGGCACCGUCGUCGAGAUCCAUGCCUAAAGCUUCCGAGCGCAAACAUCCUUAUCGGGGGGAGACCUGCCCACCGAGCCAUCGUCGUCGAUGUCGGAGCACGAUCAUCGGCUCUAGGGAAGAAGCGCCAGAUUAGGGCUGCGCCGACAUUGCCCCAAGAAGCGGGGAAUCGCCUAGACGCAAAUGGCACACCAGGUUGGGUACUUCUUACACAUCAUACUAGGGCUAUGAUUCAUUGUCGAUUCGGUGAGGAUUGUAAGGGUCGUCGAUUGGUAAGCAGCAACGAUGCCCGGAGGAAAGCGAGGGGCUGAGGCAGUGCGGAGGAACGGGACAUUGCCGGUGGAGGCCCAGUGAGGGUUCCUCCUCUACCUGUCGACGCUGUCGCUUGAAUCUGCGGUUCUUCCAUGAUGAGUGGACACCGCUGAUCAUAAGGUGUUCGAAAACUUAAAAGGCUCCUUAAACACACAGAUCUCCACUACAUAAAAGCUCUUUAAGCCUUACAACUACUGCUGGCAUUUCGAAUUAUUAAUAUUGAAGAUUAUUUAAUGAAUUACAAUUUUUACACAUGACAUCACUUAACUCGUUUUUAGAAAAUAAGACUAUAACAAUUUUUUUAGAAUAUUUACCAAAUUAUUAUGCAUUUCUUUACAACAAAUAGUCCUCCAAUAUCUUUGUUUCCUCUUCGAUCUAAGUCAAAUCUCGAAAGAAAUUUCAUGUGGACACCACUUCAUGAUCCCGAAAAGAAAGAAAAUAAUUACACAUUUAUAAUUUGAAACAUGUUCUUCAUCAAACCUAGUCAAAAUCCGACUUAAUAGAAUAUCAAAUUGAGUGGAUCAACGAAUCAUCAAUGAUAGGGAGGAAAAAAUACGACACAUAACCCCCACAUGGAGUCCUGAAUAGGAGAAAAAGAUCUACAUCACCUUUCACGCAUCUAUCCACGUGGAUAAGAGUCCAAAACACAUCAAGGCAAGCGGUUGAGGCUUGUCUCGUCUUAUCACCCAUAUGGACAAGAGGUCAAGAAGAUACUAUUAAGAGUGGUUAGAGACUGCUCCCCCUCUGUGACCAAAUAUAAAAAUUCAUCAUCAACAUAAUGAGCUAAGACCUUUUUGAUCACUCACAUCCAUACUCAUAUACCUCAUGUUGCUAACUUAGCAUCGAAGGAAUCGAAUCGGGAAACCUCUCUCAAUCUUGAUAUUCGUGCAAACGGUACCUUAGAAACUUGACAUUUCUAGGAGGUACAUCGGAUAAUCCAACAUAUAUGAGUCUGAAUCAUGUCGGGUUGACCUGGAUACUAAUGACUUCUUCACCUAACAUUUUUGACGAAGAAGGGCUCGAUGUUAUAAAAAUGCCAGCUAGUCAACCCUCUUAAUGAAUGCUUGAGCAACAAUAUUUUGCCCUUGACCCAUAGCACUUUUACUUAUGGAGGCAAUAGCCACUAAAGCCACAUAUGGAUACAUCCAUUUUGGUACAAACGCUAGUGCAGCAUCGACAUUUGUUCAACAACCCAGGCCUCUCAAUCCCGAAGAUAAUCUUGAGCCAUCUACUCUUUCUAAUUGAGAUGUUCUUGAAUCUUACCCAACAUGUGCAGACACUAAUGAACAUUAUACAAUUCGUCACUUCACUUUUGCCCUAGCUAGCCUAACAAACGAAACCACCUUGGCUCAUACUAUGUGCAGUCAUGAUCAAUAACUCAACCACCAUCGACACCCGCAUCUAUCAAGGUCCCCUCAUACGAUGUGAUGCUUACAUCCUAAGAACACCUUGGCUCGUUGAGCCAUUGGCUGAGGGAGCCAGACAAUUGGCAAAUUUUAUUAUAUAUAUAUAUAUAUAUAUAUAUUCCUGAGCCAAAGAAGCUUUGGCUCUGAUCAUAUCAUUAGCAUGCAUGGCCAGAUUGAUUCCCGUGUUUAGUUUAAAUGAUUUAGAUUAGAAUUUCGUUUGACAAAGUCAUAUUCAACAAUUUGAAAGAAGCCAGAAGAGAAAUUGCCAGACGUAUGUGACAGAAAUAUUACAAAGCUGCUUGAUACACAGAACAUAGGAACCCUAUUGUGAUUUCACAGCAUCAAUCCUUUUCAACAUGUGUAACUCAACAGUGGCUGGACUAGAAAUAUAUAACAAGGCCAAAUUACCUACCAAAUUGACUGUAAGAUCCAUCAGUGGAUAGAGGUCAAUCCAAGUGCUAACCAUUCUUCACAUACACCUUUCCUUAAUCUUGAUGAACUUUCUUCUUUAAAAAAUCAUAUAGAUACACAUGCAGAAUAUUAGUAGAAAGAUCAAGCCAUUGCCAGUACCUGUAUCUCAAAAAUUUUCAGACCAAUUAAAAGCAGGAAGAGAAAUAAAAAUUAUGUUUUUUAUGCACAUUAUGUUGGUUUUAUAGUUACUGGUAACAAUAACACAAGCAUGGUCAUAUUUAUGCUAUGCAUUUCUGCUGCUAUUAUCCUAUGAAUGGAUUAUUUUUAAUUAGACUUUCCUAAGGAAAAAAAGGGUUAAUAAUAUAUUACUCUAUGUAAUUAGUUAUCUUUAAUAUUUUAAUUUUUAUACUUUUAAAAGUUAUAUUAGGAUUCUCCUAUUUACGAAAGUGAAAUAUAUAAUUUUAUUUCUCCUUAUUUUUGACAAAAAUACUACACGUGCUCAAUGAUAAACCGAAAUAAGACAGAGUUAACAUGUGCUCAAUGGUAAACUAUAUGAUAUUUUAGUUCGUAGAGUCAACGACGACGUGAGAAGAAAUAAGAUUAAAUAUUUUACUUUCUUAUUACUUUAGAGAUCGUAAUGUAACUUUUGAAAGUAUAAAAAUCAAAAUGCUAAAGAUAAUUAAUUACAAAAGAUAAUUUAUGAUUAGAUCUAAAAAAAACACACAGCCAAAGGUGUGAACUCAUGACAGAAGUUGAAAAAAAAAAAUAAAGAUUAAGAACCUUCAAUAAUAGGGAUAAACAUGGAGACUUUGUUAACGAUAAAAGUUCUUCGAGGUUAUGUAAUCAAACCCGGUUCGCUGAUGAAAGCAGUACCGACAAUUAUGAAUUUAACAUAAUAUUGAUCAUUCUCAAGUAAAUACACUUUCUUGUGUGUGUGGAUCAAAAAAUUAUCAGCUACUUGGAGAUGGUACAAGACAAUAGAAUAUAAAAUCGAAUAAGGCUAUUGUCAUUAGUACCCUCUCUAUAAGAUACACCUAUAGUCUCUAGUGCAGGUAGAUUAAAAGGAUUUGAAGUAAUGGAACAAAAGAAUUCAUUCGUAAUACUUGGCAUCAAAUAUGUUUGGAGAUCCUCGACAAAGACAAAAGUCAUGGUGGAAAAAAGACUCUUACCUACAGCCACCUUCGCUGAUGAUUGAAGUUUCUGCUGUUGGGUGCAUGUUCCAUUGAAGGCAUCACCAUGUGUACCUGGCGGGCAGAAACAAUUGUAGCUACCGGGCAGGUUCUUGCAGGUGCCAUGGCAAGGAUAUCGAUCUUUAUCAGAACAUUCGUCGAUGUCUGCAAGUAAAACAUAUUCGCGAGUAUCAGAAACAAAAUCAUGAAAACUGAAAAGGCAAGCAGAUCCCUGAAAGAGACGAGACUUAACAGACCUUGGCAGCCAUGAGCGACAUAAGGAUUGCCAUGGUAGCCACUCGAACAGUUACAAAGAUACCCAGGACCAUUGGAAGAGUUCAAGCACUCGCUGUGCUCGCUGAUGCAGGCGUACGAGGUUAUGUUGCGCUGUGCUACCUCGCAUGUCUCGUUUCCGAUCGCCCAAUCCACCACCAAAGGAGCCUUGCCGUUGUUGUUGAACCAGAAUUGGGUCGUUGUGAUGUAAGAUGUUAGGAACUCAAACCGAUUCGCCUCCAACAAUACGGCAUAGCUGCAGUCACUGAAGUUCCAGAUGCUCGAGCUGUUGAAAUCUGAAUCAAACCAGACCUCAUAGUAUGUGAGGUCCUUGGGGAUGGAGGUUUGGCAGCAGCCGAUGCCGGAGCAUGAUGAGCUGUUGACCAAACUCACCUCGUUGUGACACGUAGACACGCAACCGCUCUGGUAGCUGUCGGCCCUUUCGAAAUCUCCGAUGUAGGCGAGGGUGUCGCAGCCGAUCACAGUGAACUUGUUGAGGUCGUCGGAGAAUCUGUAUGGUGUGCCGACGAAAUUCAGAGACCAGAGAGAGGAUUCCAGAGACUUGCUGCUAACGUUGUAACACUGCCACGAUAUUUCAUUGAGCAUGCGUGCCUGGCCAAGUGGCAACGAGAUAUCGGUGAUCUCGACGACGGACAAAAAAAGUUUCUCGAGGCCAUCAUCCGUUGUGUUGCAAUCUAGUGAGAAGCCUUCCCUCGAACAGUUAGGACCAAUGCCAAAAGGGUAGGGGACGUCAAUCUCGCCGCAUCUCCUUCGGCAGCCAGGCGGUGCAGCUGCUGCAGAUGCCGCUGCACCCACUAGCGGCAGCAUCAACAGCUGGAACAAGCGAUACCCUAACAGCACACCCAUCUCUCGAUUUGCACACUAGCAGAGAGGUUCUCUUCAGAUAAAAGCUUGGACAAAUGAUAAGUUAUGGAAACACCAAAGCCUAAAAUGAAGCUUCCUCUUGACUGACCGAUGACGUGCAAGAAAGCUGACCUUUUCCCAGUCAAUCGUUUAUUUAAAAAAAAAAAUUUUGAUUGGUUCACUGUAUAAUUUUUCUGCAAAACAAUCGACUCACAACAUGGAUCCAAAAGGAUGAACUUUGAUUGCAUCAUCAACAGGCGGCCUUAGUGACCACACACCCAUCUUUCGCUGCGAUCGGCGCCACAUGCUGCGAAGUCGGGAACGCAUAACGACAUCAGACUAUUGAUAGGAUGAUUCGACCCUUCAGAACAACAAAAGUACAAGCAAAGAAAAGUCUAUGGACUGCUAAUGAGCAUCCUCCGCCAGUGGAUUUUCAUGGACCUUUUCAAUAUUUUAUGGUACAUCAAGAGCAAGUGGUUGGUGGAUCCGUGGAUGACACCGUUAGAUUCUUUGCCAAUUAAUUAUUCUUUGUGACAAUAAGAACACAAAGAAAAAAGACAUUGAUAAAAAAUGACGUUCUUUGUCUGGACACAGAUGUCGCAAUUGGAGUUGACAUGGCUCACCUUGCCACCCUCCUCGUCUUCCUGCCUGCGAUAGGGCGGUGUACAAUCUUGUAGGCGCCUCUCCAUAAGCCCAUCCAAGGCCCCGGGAAGAACCGCCAUCAUCGCCCAAAAUGGAGCAACCAGAGCUGGGUGGAGGCGGCUAAAGAAUCCUCCGCUACCUGCUGCCGUCGUUGCACGUGAAAAGCGGCGGUUAUCAUUAUCGGCAGAGAGAACGCCACCAUAGCUUCUUUAUCAAUCAUUUCUUCAAUUUGAAAAAAGAACAUAAAGAAACAAAAAGAUAUGAAUAAGAAAUGACGUUCUUUGUCUGGACAGAGAGAUGUCGCAAUUGGUGUUCAAGUUUAUUCUAGAUUAUUUAUACCAUUCUAUUCUGAAUUAUUAGAUUAGAUAUUGAUGUCUCAGAAAUAGUGACAAGAAGAUCAUCCGAUCAUCUAACAUUUCCCGAAUGAUAAAAGCUCCGCAACCAAUGCAAAAUGUUUAAAAUGACAAUAUUUAGAUAACCAUUUUCUUGCAUACAAGAUAACCUUUUAAAGCUUCCACUUCAUUGACCGAUGAGGUGCAAGGAACACAACUCCUCCCUAGUUGCUCGGUAAAAAAUGAGUUUGAAUGUUAGGCUUGUGAACGACGACCAAUUCCUCUCAAGUAUAUUUUCAUGGACCUAUUUCAUUCCCAUGUUGCAAUUGGUGUUCUUGGUUAUUCGACCAAUGACUAAUCAGCUGAUAGGUCUUUUCAUGACAAUACUCUUCCGUGGUACAAGAAGAACUAGUGAUUGGUGGGUGAUGAUGCUAGUUGAGAACCAGCUUCGAAGCUCCAAAAUUAGAAACUUUUGAUGCAUAAUUUUCAUCAAGUAUGUUGGAAGACUUCACGUCGCCAUGAAUGAUGGGAGACGAAGUUGAUGAAUGCAAGUAGGCUAGAGCAAUCCUCAGGCGGGUGGCCAAGGAAAAGGGAGAUACAUUGUUGUUGUCGUGGAUCAGCCGGAACAAGGUCCCGUUCGAGACAAACUUCGGAACCUCCACUUCCAAGCAACAACCCAAGAGCUUGGCUAUGUUCUAGUGGUUGAUCUGCGAUAGAAUAAGCAACGCUUUUCCAAAUUCGUUCUUUUGGCUCUCAUCAAAGAUCUUAGGUUUUUUGAUGGCAACGACUUGCCUGUCCUCGAAGACUCCUCUGUAAACGGUAUCAUGUCCUCUUCUGAGAUCAAAUGUGUUAUGAGAUCCUCGACAAAGAUGAAAGUCAUGGUGGAAAAAGGACUCUUACCUAUAGCCUCCUUCGCUGAUGAUUGAAGUUUCUGGUGUUGGGUGCAUGGUCCAUUGAAAGCAUCACCGUGUGUGCCUCGCCGGCAGAAACAAUUGUAGCUACCGGGCAGGUUCUGGCAGAUGCCAUGGCAAGGAUUUUGAUCUUUAUCAGACCAUUCGUCGAUGUCUGCAAUUAAAGCAUAUUCGGCAGUAUCAGAAACAAAAACAUGAAAACUGAAAAGGCAAGCAGAUCCCUGAAAGAGAAGAAACUUAACAGACCUUGGCAGCCAUGAGCGACAUAAGGAUUGCCAUGGUAACCACUCGGAACAGUUACAAAGAUACCCAGGACCAUUGGAAGAGUUCAAACACUCGCUGUGCUCGCUGAUGCAGGCGUAGGAUGUUAUGUUGCGCUGUGCUACCUCGCAUGUCUCGUUUCCGAUCGCCCAAUCCACCACCAAAGGCGCCUUGCUGCUGCUGUCGUUCAAGAAUCGGUCCGUCGUGAUGUAAGAUGUUAGGAACUCAAACCGAUUUGCCUCCAACAAUACGGCAUAGCUGCAGCGACCGAAGUUCCAGAUGCUCGAGCUGCUGAAAUUUGAAUCAAACCAGACCUCAUAGUAUGCCAGGUCCUUGGGGAUGGAGGAGCCUCGGCAGCAGCCGAUGCCGGAGCAUGAGCUGUUGACCAAACUUACCUCGUUGUCACACACAAACACACAAACACGACGGUCGUGAUGGGAUAAAUAAAUAAAUAUAAGUAAGUCGUAAUACAUAAUAAAAUUAAAUAGAAUCGCAAUCAAGUAAGACAUCAAGAUUUACGUGAAAAACCACUCCAACAUGAAGGGUAAAAAUCAUGGGGCAAACUAGAGAAAAUUUAUUAUAAAAAUAAUAAAUAUACAAAUCUCAAAGUUUCUUGCCCAAAAAUCAAGCAAUAAUCACAAGAGAAUAAUUGAGAUAUGAGGAUUACGUCAUUUUGCAUAAUAUUCAAAAUCUCCUCAAGUAAUCACAGCAAUAAUUGACUGUAGAUCUGAUCUAAUUUGAGACGAGAACACUACCUGAAUGAUUGAAAACAGUCUCUCUGUGUUGUCCUUGUCUUCUUCCCUUUUCUUCUCUUGUUUUUCUAUAAUUUUCUCCUAUUUUUGAAUUACGUUACUGCUAUAAUUUUUUGCCCCUAUUGCUAUAGUUUUCUCUCUUUGUUGCUAUAGUUUUCUGCCUCCUUUUCAUAGUCACCACACCCCCCUUAUUAGAUCUAGGUUUACAUUAAAAGAGAAGUGGACUAUGGGCUAUUAAAGCCCACUAUGGGCUAAGCUCAUGGGCUGUUAAUCCAACAACCUCCCCUUUCAGCCCAUAAGGGAGGCUGUCCCAUGACUCCUCAACGUGAAACCAUGUCGAUCAACCGUCGACACAUCUCCUGCCUUUUUUUCGAUAAGGUCUUUGUCAACAUAUCUGCUCUAUUAUCAUCUAUAUGAAUUUUCUAAAGUUGCAACUACUUCUCUUCAAGUAUAUUUCGAAUCCAAACAUCUAUAUGCUUUGACUUAGAAUGAAAAGUUGGGUUCUUACACAAAUAAAUGGCUCUUUGGCUAUCAUAAUGUACCACAUAGUUUUUUUAUUUCAGCCCCAAUUCUUGUAAAAAUUCUUUAUCUAUAACAUUUCUUUGUAAACCUUUGUAGCAACAAUAUAUUCUGACUUUGUGGUGAAGAGACCAAUACACCUUUGUAAUUUGGAUUGUCAUGACAUAGCUCCCCCUACAAAAAUAAGUAUAAAACCUGAUGUGGAUUUCCUUGUAUCUAUAUCUCUUGCCAUAAUUGUAUUUGUGUAACAUGUCAACAUAGAUCGUCCACCUCCAAAGCUUAAACAAACUUUAUAGUAUCUAUAUCUCUUGUCAUAAUUGUAUUUGUGUAACAUGUUAACACAGGUCGUCCACCUCCAAAGCUUAAACGAACUUUAUAGCUCCUUCUGAUAUAUCUAAAGAUCCACUUCACUAUUGCCCAGUGCUCCUUGUUUGGAUUUACAAGAAAUAUGCUAGUAACACCUACUGCAUAUGCAAUGUCCGACCUUGUACAUAUCAUCGUGUACAUUAAACUUCCAACUGCUAAAGCAUAAGAAACCUUUUGCAUAUUCUUCUUCUCCAUCACUUGACGGACUCUAUUCUGAGCACAACUUGAAGUGACCUGAAAGAGAAGAACUAAUUGGCUUUGCAUUGCUCAUACUGAACCUCUCUAAUAUAUUCUCGAUGUAUUUCUCUUGUGACAACCAAAUCUUCUUGUUUUUUCUAUCACGGAAAUUUGCAUACCUAGUAUUUGCUUUGCUGGCCCCAUGUCCUUUAUUGCAAAGGAUUUACUCAGUUUCAUCUUUAACCUGUCAAUUAUAGACAUACAUUUCCUAAAGAUAAACAUGUCAUCAACAUAAAGCAAGAGAAUAAUAAAAUCCUCACAAAACAAUUUGAUGUACACACAAUGAUCUGAAGCCAUUCUUUUAUAUCAAUUUUCAAUCAUAAAUGAAUCAAACUUUCUGUACCACUAUCUUGAAGCUUGCUUCGGCUUAUACAAGCUCUUUUUCAAAUUGUAGACAAAAUUUUCUUUACCUUUGAUUUUGAAGCAUUCUAAUUUCUCCAUAUAAAUUUUCUCCUCUAAAUCACCAAGAAGGAAAGCUGUCUUUACAUCCAACAACUCAACCUCCAAGUCUAGGCUAGCAACAAUACCAAAAGCAACACGAAUAGAAGCAUUUUAACAAUAGGAGAAAAAAUAUUUUCAAAGUCAAUAUGUUUCUUUUAAUCAAAGUCUUUCACAACCAAUUUAGCUUUGUAUCUUGUCUUUCACAUCCAUCUCUUUCUGCAUAGCAACUAACUACUUCUUUUUCUGUUCACUUUCAACUGCUUUCUGAUAACUCUCUGAUUCACUUGCAUUAGUAAGCAUCAUAUACUCAUAUGUAGAGUAUCUUUUGGAAGGUUGACGUUAUCUAAACCGUGGUUCCGUGGGAAGUUGCUCUCUAGCUUCUUCUUGCUCAACAUGUCCUACAGGUAGAUCAACAUCGGACUCUCCACUAUCUUCCUGCACAUCUCCCCCAUCACCCUGAUAUAUUGGAGGAGUAAUUCGAUCAAAAUAUGCUAAUCCUUCUACAUAAGUCUUGGCUGGUGCCUCCUUCAAAUCCUAUAGGGUUUGAUCCUCAAAGAAGACAACAUCUCUGCUUCAAAUUACUUUCUGCUUUUUUAGAUCCCAAAACCUGUAACCAAACUGAUCAUGUGAGUAGUAAAAAAAAAUAUAUUAUUUUAUCUUACCAUCUAGCUUAGACCUCUUAUUGUUUAUAACGUGUGCAAAUGCAUGACAACCAAACACUCACAAAUACUUGUAGGAAAUAUCUUUUCUAAACCAUAUAUGCUCUAGAACAUCAUCAUCUAGGGUUGUACAAGGUGACAAGUUGAUCGUAUCAAUUGCAGUCCUCAAAGCUUCAUCCCAAAACUUUUUGGGUAGCUUAGCCUUUGAAAGCAUACAUCUGAUAUUUUCCAUGAUGUUGCAAUUCAUCCUCUCUGCAACAACAUUAUGCUAAGGUGUACUAUAAACUUUCAUCUCAUUGUGGAUGUCAUGCGACCUGUAAUAAUCAUUAAACAAUUCAGUGUACUCACCACCAUUAUCUGAUCUUAUACAUUUCAAUUAUCUUUUUGUCUCCCUUUCAACUUUAGCAUAAAACUCUUUGAUGACAUUAAUAACCUGAUAUUUGAUCUUCAUAGCAUCGGCUCAAACUUUCCUAAAAUAGUUAUAUAUAAAAGUAGCAAAAUAAAGUACACCAAUGAUACCAAGAACAUUAAUAGAUCCACCAUGAGUUUUUAUCCUCAAAUGAUCAUAUACAUAUAUGUAAACAUGAUCUAAGGCAUAUAUUUUUCUAGAGAAAGCAUGACUAGCAAAGAAAACUCUAUAUUGUUUACCGACCAAACUAUCAAUAUAAGGGUUCAAACGUGUACCUCUGAGGUCUAACAAUACCUCUCUCUUAGAAAGAGCUUGCAACCCCUUCUUGCUCAUAUGUCCUGAUUGCUUAUGCCACAACUCAAUGCUGAAGUCUUUUUCUGUAGCAUUUAACUACUCACCAUAAGUUUUGGCCUAUAAUUUAUAUAAAAUAUAACAUUUCUUUCCACUAGCCACAAUAAGAGAACCCUUACUGAGCUUCCAUUGUCCUCUGUGAAAUCUGCUAUCAUAGUCUUCAUCAUCUAGUCUUCUAACUAAAAUUAAAUCCAACCUUAAGUCAAUCACAUGUCUCACAUCCUUCAGCACUAACUUGUAGCCAAGGUAGGUCUUUAUGUGGAUAUCACUCAUGCCAAUGAUGUCUACCAUGUCAUAGUUGCUUAUCUUGACAACACCAAAAUUUUCAGACAUGCAGAUAGCAAAAAACUUCCUCCGUGGUGUAGCAUAAUAAGAAGCACCUAUGUCAAUCACUCACUCAAGAUCCUAACACACACAACAAAAAAUAUCAUCAAAAGGAGACAAAAUCAAAUAAUCACCGCCCUGCACUAUAGCUAUAGUAUUAUCUUUUAACUCUGUAGACUCCACUUCUUUUUCCUUUUUUCUUACUCUUUUUAGGUUGCUUGCAUUCGUUCUUGUAAUGUCCUUUCUCACUAUAGUUAUAGCAAAUAAUAUCUUUUCUUGAUCUUGACUUGCUUCUACCCAUGCGUGAACUGCUUCUAUCCUUGGACUUUGAUCUUCCUUUGUUCUUUGAGAUAAGUGCCUUUGAAUUAUUCUGAGAUGUUGUUGAAUUCUUUCUUCUCAACUCCUCAUUCAAUAAACUGCUUGUUACUUGACUCAUGGUGACAACACCAUCUAGCGCAGAAUUACUAUGGGAAACCACCAAUGUCUCCUAACUUUUUGGUAAAGAACUGAGAAGUAACAAUGCUUGUAACUCAUCAUCAAGAGACAUUUUAUUAUAAGAUAACUGGUUAGUAAUUCUUGGAUUUCAUUCAAAUGCUCAACAAUAAAAGCACCCUAUUUAUAUUUUAGGUUUGCAAGUUCUCUGAUCAAGAAAGCUUUGUUGUCAGUUGUUUUUCUAUCACAGAGAUUUUUCAACUUUUUUCAAAGAGAGUAUGCAGAACUUUCAGUAGAAACAUGGUGAAAGAUAUUGUCAUCGAGCCAUUGUCGAAUAAACCCGACUAUUUUUUGGUCUAAUCUCUUCCACCCAUCAUCUGUCACAGUUGUGAGUUUUGCACCAUCCCCUUGCAAAGGUUCAUACAAAUCUUUGUAAUACAAGAGAUCUUCCGUUCUUAGUUUUCAUAUCAUCCAAUUAUUUCUAUUCAAGCUAAUCAUGCGAGAAACAUUACCGGCCUCUAUGUUCGAAUACAAAAAAUAAAUCACCAAAACCAUACUCCGAUACUAAUUGAUGGGAUAAAAAGAGAACUUUGUAUACGAACAAAUACAAGUAGGCCGUAACAUAUAGCAGAAUUAAAUAUAAUCAUAAUAAAAUAGGACAACAAGAUUUAUGUGGAAAACCCCUCCAACGUGAAUGGUAAAAACCACGGGGCAAACCAUAGAAAAUUCACUAUAAAAAUAAUGAAUGUGCAAAUCUCAAAGUCUCUUGCCGAAAACCCAAGUAACAAUCACAAGAAAAUAACUGAGAUACAAUUAUUAUGUCACUGUAUAUAAUAUUCAAAAUCUUUUCAAAUAAUUACAGCAAGAAUCUAUUGUAGAUAUGAUCUAAUAUGAGAUGAGAACACUACCUGAAUAAUUGAGAAUAAUCUCUCUACGUUGUCCUCAUCUUUUUCUCUUUUCCUCUUUUAUUUUUCUAUCAUUUUCUUUUUUUUUUAAAUCAUGUUGUUGCUAUAGUUUUCUGCCAUCAUUACUAUAGUUUUCUCUCUCCGUUACUAUAGUUUUUGUCUCUUUUUCACAACCACCACACCUUCUUAUUAGAUUUAGGUUUAUGUUAAAAUUGAGAUAUGCUACGGGCCGUUAAAGCCUAUUAUAAACUGAACUCAUAGGCUAUCAGCCCAACGGGUCUCUGCAGCCGAUUAACUAUACAGUGUGUCGACCAAAUCGAGAGACCAGAAGUUGCAGUCCACGGAAUUGUUGCUUACGUUGCAACACUGACACUAUAUUUCGUUGAGCAUGCGUGUCUGUCCUAGCGGCAAUGAGAUAUCGGUGAUCUCGACGUUGAACACAAAAAGUUUCUCGAGGCCAUCAUCCAUUGUGCUGCAAUUUAGUGAGAAGUCUUCCCUCAAACAGUUAGGACCGAUACCAAAAGGGUAGGGGAUGUCAAUCUCGCCACAUCAUGUUGGGCAGCCAGGCAGUGGACCUGCUGCAGAUGCCACUGCACCCACUAGCGGUAGCAUCAAGAGCUGGAACGAGUGAUCUUCGUAACUGCUUAUUUAACAGCAACCUGACAAUCGAAGCAAUUCUUCCAUCAAACAAUGCACUAACACUUCCCAUUAGAUUGUGAAAAUUAAUAUAUAGUCGUGAUUGUGCAUUCUUUCAUGUUGUCAGUCAAUGAUUUUGCCUCCUUGUCUCCUAAAUCCUCUUCACAAAUGAAUUCAACUCAGUAUCAGUGUUAUCCCAUUUAGACCCUAACACUUCCAUAACCAAAUUCCUGACAUUAGCUUAAUGCAUGCAAAUUUCUUUUUCUUAAAUUCUUGUGAAUAGUUCUCAACAAAUCUCUUUGGAGGUAUGCCCUUAUGCUGCAUCAGUGCCUGUGCCUAAUUGAUACUCACAAAGUUGCUGCAAGUUUUGGUACGUUAGGAACAAGCCAUCUUACUCAUGCAGAUAAACAACUCCUUUGUUUACCUGAGUUCAUGGAAUGGUUGAGAAUUAUUUCACGUAGCUUGGAUUCUCUCCUGGACAUACCUCGGAAGACAAUUCGCCAAGCCUGGUGCUGUCGUCAAGACCCACGUCUGAAACUUCUGCGCAGAAACUCCCUUAUCGACCGUCGAAACAUCGGAUCUCCAAAUGUGCUCAUCUUCCUCCGCGAUCACACCGCACGAAAACACUAGCAAAUGGCUCAUGUCAGGGAGCACCAAAGGAUCCUUUGCGUUUCUGGACAUCUUCGCGAUCCUCGAAG